GUCAGUAACUCAGGGCUAAAGCCACUGAGCUUGUAAGAAAUUGCAAGCUGUACUGACCAGACCACCCUGAGCGUAGUCGAAGGGUAGCCGUUAUUUGAGUCACGACACCUCGGAAUGCGUUGCUAGUUCCCCGCUCUGUCGCUGUAAGCUAAACAGUUUUAAAGUCACUGAAACAGUGCUUACAGCCUAACAAGCUCUUAUAACAGGUCGAAGCUAACAUUAC
rfam:Anabaena sp. 90 chromosome chANA01, complete sequence.